rnacentral:rRNA from 1 species
AUGCAGUCGAGCGGGCAUGUCGAGGGAGCAUUCGCGUCCCACAUGAGAAUGGCGCAGGGGUGCGUAACAUGUAGGCAACCUACCUUUACCGGGGGGAUAGCCUCUCGAAAGAGAUAUCCACACCGCAGAACAUUAUGAUAUGGCAUCGUAUUAUAAUCAAAUAUUUAUCGGGUAAAGAUGGGCAUGCGGAACAUUAGCUAGUUGGUGUGGUAACGGCAUACCAAGGCGACUAUAUUAGGGGAUCUGAGAGGAUGACCCCCCACACUGGUACUGAGACACGGACCAGACUCCUACGGGAGGCAGCAGUAAGGAAUAUUGGUCAAUGGGCGGAAGCCUGAACCAGCCAUGCCGCGUGCAGGAAGACGGCCCUACGGGUUGUAAACUGCUUUUGCAGGGGAAUAAACCCCGGUACGUGUACCGGGCUCGAAUGUACCUUGAGAAUAAGGAUCGGCUAACUCCAGUGCCAGCAGCCGCGGUAAUACGGAGGAUCCGAGCGUUAUCCGGAUUUAUUGGGUUUAAAGGGUGCGUACGCGGCUAAUUAAGUCAGGGGUGAAAGACGGCAGCUCAGCUGUCGCAGUGCCUUUGAUACUGAUUGGCUUGAAUACACUUGAGGUAGGCGGAAUGUGACAAGUAGCGGUGAAAUGCAUAGAUAUGUCACAGAACACCAAUUGCGAAGGCAGCUUACUAAAGUGUGAUUGACGCUGAGGCACGAAAGCGUGGGGAUCACACAGGAUUAGAUACCCUGGUAGUCCACGCCCUAAACGAUGAAUACUCGAUGUUGGCGAUAUACGGUCAGCGUCUAAGCGAAAGCGUUAAGUAUUCCACCUGGGGAGUACGCCCGCAAGGGUGAAACUCAAAGGAAUUGACGGGGGCCCGCACAAGCGGAGGAGCAUGUGGUUUAAUUCGAUGAUACGCGAGGAACCUUACCCGGGCUUGAAAGUUAGUGAAUGGAGCAGAGACGCUCCAGUCCUUCGGGACACGAAACUAGGUGCUGCAUGGCUGUCGUCAGCUCGUGCCGUGAGGUGUUGGGUUAAGUCCCGCAACGAGCGCAACCCCUGUGUUUAGUUGCCAGCAUGUAAUGGUGGGGACUCUAAACAGACUGCCUAUGCAAUGAGAGAGGAAGGAGGGGACGACGUCAAGUCAUCAUGGCCCUUACUUCCGGGGCUACACACCUGCUACAAUGGGCUGUACAAAGGGCAGCUACUGGGCAACAGAUGUCCAUUAUCAUUAACAUUUUCACAGUUAGUAUCGAAGUCUGCAACUCGACCCCGGGAAGUCUGGUUAUCUCGUAUUAGCGUAUCAGCAAGGAUGCGUUGACUAGCUUCCUACACACCGCCCAUCACACCAGUCGAGCCGGGGUUAGCGGAAGGUGCCUGCAAGUGACGUGAACGCAGGCAG